UAAACCUUCCUCCUAGUACUGCUUUUGCUGUAUCCCAUAGGUUUUGCAUGAUGUGUUUCCAUUUUCUGUUUAAAAAUUUUUUUUGAUUUCCAUCUUAAUUUCUUCAUUGACCCAAUGAUCAUUCAAUAGCACAUUUAAUGUCCAUGUAUUUGUACAGUUUCCAAAUUUCUUCUUGUUAUUGAUUUCAAGUUUUAUUCCAUUGUGGUCUGAGAAGAUACUUGAUAUGAUUUUAACGUUUAAAAUUUUGUUGAGCCUUGUUUUGUGUCCUAACAUAUGGUCUAUCCUGGAGAAUGUUCCAUGUGUUGAUGAGAUGAUUGUGUAUUCUGCUGCUGCUGGAUGAAAUAUUCUGAAAAUAUCUGUUAGGUCCAUUUGGUCUAAAGUGCAGCUUAAAUCUAAUGUUUCUUUGUUG
rnacentral:lncRNA from 1 species